AGCGAACGCUGGCGGCAGGCCUAACACAUGCAAGUCGAACGAAGUCUUCGGACUUAGUGGCGGACGGGUGAGUAACACGUGGGAACGUGCCUUUAGGUUCGGAAUAACUCAGGGAAACUUGUGCUAAUACCGAAUGUGCCCUUCGGGGGAAAGAUUUAUCGCCUUUAGAGCGGCCCGCGUCUGAUUAGCUAGUUGGUGAGGUAAAGGCUCACCAAGGCGACGAUCAGUAGCUGGUCUGAGAGGAUGAUCAGCCACAUUGGGACUGAGACACGGCCCAAACUCCUACGGGAGGCGGCAGUGGGGAAUCUUGCGCAAUGGGCGAAAGCCUGACGCAGCCAUGCCGCGUGAAUGAUGAAGGUCUUAGGACUGUAAAAUUCUUUCACCGGGGACGAUAAUGACGGUACCCGGAGAAGAAGCCCCGGCUAACUUCGUGCCAGCAGCCGCCGUAACAC
rnacentral:rRNA from 1 species